AUGAACGCUGGCGGCGUGCCUAAUACAUGCAAGUCGAACGCUGGAAAUCUAGCUUGCUAGAUUGAAGGAGUGGCGAACGGGUGAGUAAUACAUAAGCAACCUACCCACGAAGACUGGGAUAAUCUCUGGAAACGGGGACUAAUACCGGAUAGGUAAUCGGAAGGCAUCUUCUGAUUAUUAAAGGUUAAAAACACUGGUGGAUGGGCUUAUGGCGCAUUAGUUAGUUGGUGAGGUAACGGCCCACCAAGACGAUGAUGCGUAGCCGGCCUGAGAGGGUGAACGGCCACAUUGGGACUGAGACACGGCCCAGACUCCUACGGGAGGCAGCAGUAGGGAAUUUUCGGCAAUGGGGGAAACCCUGACCGAGCAACGCCGCGUGAGUGAUGACGGCCUUCGGGUUGUAAAGCUCUGUUGUAAGGGAAGAACGGUAGAUAGAGAAUAUCUAAAUGACGGUACCUUACCAGAAAGCCACGGCUAACUACGU
rnacentral:rRNA from 1 species